AGAAGAGUUCCAUAGCCCCCAGGAGCCAGGAGGGGGAUGGGACACGGUGCUGAUGCCGGGGGCAGGAGAAGAAGAUGACCGUCUCCCAUCCAUCCAUUUUCAGCCCCCACAGGCUGCUGAAGGGGAGGGGGUGCUGGGAGGUGGCUCGCUGAGAGCAGGAGGUACCACUGAGUUUUCCAGGCACUGGCCUCAGGGCCUCUCCUAAGAACGCAUCAGCCUGGGGGCUGUUGUGGGCUGGAUCCUCGCUCUUCUGGAAAAAGCCAUUGCAUCAGCUUGUGUGUGCUGUGUCCUGAAGUGAGGUAUUGACUCUAUGAGAGAAGAAGUCUGAGAAGAGCUCAGGAGGAAGACUGUUCUGGGAAAGCUCGUGAUUUCCCAUAGAACCCCACCACAAAAGCAGGAAGGAUUUAAGUGAGACACCAGGAAAAACGGGGCAGGGUCAGUAUCCAACUGACAAAGCAAAAAGUAAACAGCUGUGUGGAGGGCCAGCAUCUCCACCCUGGAGCCAGGCAGCAGGUGGCCGGAGGACAGAGGCUGAGGUGGGGUGGAAGCUGCAGGUCUGAGACCUGAGCCUGUGUGACCAUCACCUUCCUGCCUGCGCUGGUCCUAGCGUCAGAGCUGUACGAAGAGAAACCAGAGACACGGGUCCUUAUGGUUCUUCCUCCUCCAAGUUGUGCUUCACCCUGGUCUUCUUGUCCCUGAUGCCACCAUUGUACACGUGUGUGGGCUGAGCCCGGAGCUCACCGUUGUGGCUAUUCUGGGGGCUGUGAGCUCCAGGGUCUUCUGGCUCCUCCUGGUCAGCACGGGAUUGCAGGCGCUCACUGCCGGUCAGCGCGGGUUGCAGGUGCGCAUUCGGGUCAGCAUGGGAUUGCAGGCGUGCACUGCUGGAUUUUGCUUGGGUGCUGGAUCCGAACUUAGUCCUGGAGCUUGUGCAGAGGAUGCUUUCCCUGCAGUCCCAAAUUCCUCCAUCUUACGAUCACAGGGAAAAGCUGGGGUUUUCCAUGUGCAGUGGCCUCCUCCUCUUCUUUGCCUGGAGGCUCCGAGGGCGACAGCAGAUCCAUCGCGAGCCCCCUACAGCUUCUCCCCGUCUCCCUGUUCCCAGAGACUUGGGAACUUCAUUAUUUCCCUGACUGGCUUUUCUGGCACGGCUCAAAUUAAUUUUCCAUCUCUCCCCCUCUCCCAAGCCUCGCAGUCAUUAAAUGCCAGGAAAAGUUAAAUAAACAGCUGAUCUACAGAGCA